CCUGCAAGGCAGAACGACCUGUGAACUCGUAAAUACAACYAGGUGAUGGGGAGAUGGGCCUUGGUCCUUGUCCCCAUCCCCUCCCGGCGUGCGUGUGUGGCGCCUCUUUCGGGGUGCCAUAGAUGUGAUGCUGGACUAUAACAAAACCCCGGCACGGCAUGUGCCAAGGAAAACGAAAAURAGAAGGACUCGWACCGUGCUGUCCCGUUCGCGGUGURCAUGCGGCUCGKGGACUCUUUUUAAUUACAAACGACUCUCGGCAACGGAUAUCUCGGCUCACGCAUCGAUGAAGAACGUAGCAAAAUGCGAUACUUGGUGUGAAUUGCAGAAUCCCGUGAACCAUCGAGUUUUUGAACGCAAGUUGCGCCCGAAGCCAUUCGGCCGAGGGCACGCCUGCCUGGGCGUCACGCAUCGCGUCGCCAUCCACCAUAAUUACCCAACAGGUACUCAUGGUGAUGUGGCGGAGAAUGGUCUCCCGUACAUGUGGCGGUUGGCCUAAAAAGGAGUCCCCUUCAGCGGACACACGACWAGUGGUGGUUGAACAKRCCCUCGUCUUUAUCGUGUGUCGUGAGCURCKAAGGGAAGCCCUCAUAAAAGACCCUAUYGUAUCGUUUGAGGACGGUGCUUCGACC
rnacentral:misc_RNA from 1 species